rnacentral:lncRNA from 1 species
AAUGUGCCUAGGAGUGCUCUGUGGGUUUUUCCAAGGACAAAGGCCAUGUCCCUUCCUUGGACAGCUUUGCUCUGAGAUAGAGGCUGGUUUUUCAUUCCCCCCUUUGUCUGGAAACUUGGGAACCAAUCAUGGUUCCGUCAGUUGUGGGCCUAUUUGGGCAGGCUCUACAUCUUGGUAAACAGUAAUCCUCAGGGGACAGUCUUCAACUUCCCAGACUCACUUAAAAUUGGCCUUCUAGAUCCAACCUGACUCGAUUUACCUAUCUACACUGCCUAUCCAUUUCUGGCUUUAUUUCCCCUAAUUUUAGAAACUUUAUUGCUGUAAGGAGAAGGGGUG